rnacentral:rRNA from 1 species
GAUGAACGCUGGCGGCGUGCUUAACACAUGCAAGUCGAACGGGAUCCAAGGGGUGCUUGCACUUUUUGGUGAGAGUGGCGAACGGGUGAGUAACACGUGAGUAACCUGUCCUUUUCUUUGGGAUAAGCAUUCGAAAGGGUGUUUAAUACCUUAUGUUCUGUCUGCCUCGCAUGGGGUGGGUGGGAAAGGCUUUGGCCGGAUUUGGGUGGGCUCGCGGUCUAUCAGCUUGUUGGUGGGGUGAUGGCUUACCAAGGCUUUGACGGGUAGCCGGCCUGAGAGGGUGGUCGGUCACAUUGGGACUGAGAUACGGCCCAGGCUCCUGCGGGAGGCAGCAGUGGGGGAUAUUGCACAAUGGGCGAAAGCCUGAUGCAGCGACGCCGCGUGGGGGAUGGAGGCCUUCGGGUUGUAAACUUCUUUUGCUCUGAACAAGGCAUGCCAGUGGGUGUGUUGAGUGUAGGGGUUGAUUAGCGCCGGCUAACUACGUG